GAUGAACGCUGGCGGCGUGCCUAAUACAUGCAAGUCGAGCGAACGGACGAGAAGCUUGCUUCUCUGAUGUUAGCGGCGGACGGGUGAGUAACACGUGGAUAACCUACCUAUAAGACUGGGAUAACUUCGGGAAACCGGAGCUAAUACCGGAUGAUAUUUUGAACCGCAUGGUUCAAAAGUGAAAGACGGUCUUGCUGUCACUUAUAGAUGGAUCCGCGCUGCAUUAGCUAGUUGGUAAGGUAACGGCUUACCAAGGCAACGAUGCAUAGCCGACCUGAGAGGGUGAUCGGCCACACUGGAACUGAGACACGGUCCAGACUCCUACGGGAGGCAGCAGUAGGGAAUCGUCCGCAAUGGGCGAAAGCCUGACGGAGCAACGCCGCGUGAGUGAUGAAGGUCGUCGGAUCGUAAAACUCUGUUAUUAGGGAAGAACAUAUGUGUAAGUAACUGUGCACAUCUUGACGGUACCUAAUCAGAAAGCCACGGCUAACUACG
rnacentral:rRNA from 1 species